CAUUAUACGAAUCCUCGUCAAUGUUCCAUCAAAAUUGGAACGAUACAGAGAAGAUUAGCAUGGCCCAUGCGCAAGGAUGACACGCACAAAUCGAGAAAUGGUCCAUUGGCAG
rnacentral:snRNA from 1 species